rfam:Triticum aestivum genome assembly, contig: Triticum_aestivum_CS42_TGACv1_scaffold_329360_4BS
UUCAUACUCCCUCCGUUCAAAAAUUCUUGUCUUACAUUUGUCUAGAUAUAGAUGUAUCAAGUCACAUUUUAGUAUUAGGUACAUCCGUAUCUCUAGACAAAUUUAAAACUAAAAUUUUGGGACGGAGGGGGUAUUAA